AUGUUGUGUGCAUUUGAUUUCAGAAUGUUUUUAACCCGCCAUGCAUGAUAAUCGUGUGGUAGCUACAUGUAUGUUAGAUUGCUGGACAUCUGAAGGAGCUUGAAUAGGUAUUUCACCAUCUUAUGCAACACCGUUGCGUAUCUACACCUAUAUCAUGUUUAUUAACUAAACGUUCUUCCAUGUGAAACUCACUAGAUCUUUGGUAUGUGUUUUCCUCCAAUCCUUGCUUAACUGUGUGAUGUUGAAUCAUUUAAAAUGGAUGUUGAAUCCUACAUGCUAUGCUAUGUCAUGCUGAUUUAUAAUUUGAUUUCCUAUUAUUGUUGGCAAGCUCUUGCUCGCAGUUCACAUUGUAUGAUUGGUAUUUUGUGCAUGACAUGGUGCGGAUUUCCUAGCUUCUUCAAGAAUGUCUGCUUGGUUUCUCCUGAUUUUGUAAAUUCUUUCUUCGGUGACUUCUGUAAUUCAUGAAUGUGUGUCACUCGUCAUGUUAGUUUAUGCCUUUUGCUCGGGUUUUGGAUCUAUUAAUUGGACUAAUUAAUAGAUUUAACUUACUUAAUGUUUAGAUAGCAUCUUAGGACCUUUGUAUGUCUGUGAAACUGUGAGUAGAAACACUUGAAAUUUGAUGUUUUGCUGGCUACCUAUUAUUGCAGUUAUAGAAGGUCAUGACUGACCUGUGAAACACUUGGGCACACCAAAGGUUGGUGAUUCGAAUCAAAGAUUAGUGUAUGCUAUGUUACGUUGUUUCCCUCAUCUGAUUAUUGUUGCUGCCGGGUUAACAUGAAUGCUAAGUUAUAGGCGUCUUGACUAAUUAAUAAAUGAAACCGAAGAGGAUGGGCAGAAAGCAAACUAAUUUUAUGUACGCCCAACAUUGUUUCUUUGGAUGCUUAUAUGAAUGGUUUUAAACUUUUAAUGGAUGAGCUGAUGGCAUAACUUGGUUCUCCUCUUACAGAUAAGCGCAUUCAUGUUCUGAAGCAAUGCCUUCUUGAACGUGUAUAGGAAAUAAGCUCCGAUGCAUUUAUUUUAGUACUUGGAUACUCUUUUGCUUACAUGUCUGCCGGGAAGAUACAAUGUCCUACAAGUUCGAAUACAGAGCUACCACUAUAAAUUCUACUUGGUUGCAUCUGACCUAAUGUUAUUCAUUUCCUUCUGCUCCAGACAAGACAAGCAGCAGCGGCGACGCCGGACCAGUCACCCCCGCACCUCCAGUUUUCCUUCAGGGUAACUAACCACGGGCAAAUGCUUCUGUCAUUUCUUUCGCUUGUGAUUCCUCUCGUUGGGACCAUGGUUGUUGCCUUUCCCUCUGCCUGUAAAAUCGUACUGCAGAGGCAUCUAGCACCCACCAUGAACAUCGGUGUGAGGUCUUGGAUCAAGGCUCCCCUGGACCAGCAUCGUCUGCUAGCGCACGCGUGCCUGCUUCUGUGCAGAUUGACUGAUCUAGCCUCCACCUAAAUUUCCUGCAAUUACGAUUCAGCAAGAGAUCAUAGGUAGUCUAAUUUGUUUUCCCAAAACCUAAGUUCAACGAUGGAGUUAGAUACAGAUUAUCCAUAUGCAUAUUCUGUCCAUAUUACUGUCCUGAACAGAUAGCCUGAUUGUUCCACUUAAUUUAGGUCACUAAUUACAUGCAAAUAGUACUACACUAUACGUCUAAUUUUUCUGCAAUUGCUUCAUUAGAUAGCCUGAGUGUUCAAAAAAUUGUUCUAUACUUUGUCUUUGUCUUCCCUGAUUUUAAUUAACCCUGUUGAGCUUCUUUAUGACGUAGGCUGUGAGCCUUGUGUUGGGAGGAUCCCAGGCCGAAUGAUGCUUGAUCUCCUUUUGGAGGAGCUUGUGUUUACCGCAGCCCGUUAUAGUCGAAGGGGCUAUUUAAGUAACACCAUGAGUUCAUUUACUGGUGUUCGAUCCUCCGAUGAGGCAGCGGCGGAAGACUUGCCUUUUUGAAGCCAUCAGGACCAUCGAAAAUGCCACAAGAACAGUGGUCAAAGAUCUGAAUUAUGGACGCUUAAACAAGAUGGAACAAGACUUUGGUUAUCUAAGGCUCAGGCUCAAUGAAGCAUUUGACACAAUAGACAGGGUUGCCAAAGGAUAUUUGUAUGCUAUAAGAUACAUGCCAGCUUUCUUACAUCAGCUUCAUAAUGUGAUAGCACAUACUUUUCCUCCUACUCGUGUUGUGGACAAGUCAACAAAUGAGGCUCUCAAGAAUAUUGAGGUGGUAGCUCAUAAUCUCAGGACAGAAGCAAUAGUCUUGAGAACAAGCUAUAUGUGUUGAGAAGGCAGAGUCAAGCGCGCGUGAACAUGUGUAGCUUGCUUUCGGACUAAAUCCUUUGUAGUUGUGUGGACCAACUUUUAUAUACUAAGGGCGUGUUCGGUAGCCCUCCAGUCCUCCACAGCCACCAACUCCUCAACUCCAUCGCCAGGAUCUUCUCGCCAGCUUCUCCCGAGCGAGCCGGGAGCGAGCGAAACGUUCGGAGACACGGCUUCUCGCUCGUACCAUGAGUCAGUCUGAAGCCCAUGAAAUUGUCCCAAUGUGGCCCAAUCAACUCGAAAUUUGUAGCAGGCUCAUAGCCCAAUUCGCUGCCGGUUCGUUUCUUCGCGGUGGGAUUGGUCGGUCGUGCGAGUCGUGGGAUUAGAAGCUCGAACCGGUACGCUCAGGCACACUUCGCGGUGGCAGCCUCGUGUAAUUUUGAACAACUCCAACUUCUCAUUUUUUCUGGAGCUCGGGUUGGGCAACUCCACGACUCCUUCGAUUUUGCACGACGCUCAACUCCAGCUUCUCUCGCCCAUAGCCACGUUUUGAAACGUUCGGCUGCACGCCCGACCUGGAGUCUAGGAUUUGAGGAGCAGGAGGGCUCCCGAACACGCCCUAAAUAUGUAUAGCCUGCUUUUGGACUGAAGCUGUUGUUUCCUGAACCAAUUGCUAUGUAUUGAAUGUG
rnacentral:lncRNA from 1 species